UAAUGAAAAUAUCAAAUCCUUCAAUCCACACAUGAAAAAAAAGGUCUUUGGAAGUUCUUUUUUAACAUAAACUCCCUACCCCCAAAAUAUGACACUGACCAGAGUUUGCCAGCCAAUACGUGCAAUCAGUGCUUGAAGUGUGGAAGUCAGAUCUUCACUGGAAGUGUGUGUGUGUUUGUGUGUAUUUUCAUUGGCUGCAUAAUCUCUUAGGGCAAAAAUAUCUCUACAAAAACAGUAAAGGUAGAGAUGUUUUGUUUACAUUUUCCCCAGUCUAAACAAAUGAAUGACAUUCAUUUCAAUGAAUUUCACACAUUUUAAACAUAUAUACUUCAGUUUAUUUUUAACAGAUACUUAAAAGCACAACCAAGACAAAGGGGGAAAAAGGAAGAAAUAAAGGGAUUUACAAGCAGUGUAUUAUUUAACACACAUUUUCAAAGUAAUGUUAGAUUACUACUAAAUGAUAUUAACUGUUCUUGACAUCAAAUCUAUAAUGAAUAAUUAGCAAAAUCAGCCAAAAAUAAAAGCCAGGAAGCAGAAUAAGCAAUUAAUAGAAAAUUCUAACAAAUGUAAAAGGAUAUGUUUUUCUUAUAACAAGGCAAGCAAGAUUUAAGGUUUUAAAGCUUUAUGCAAGAGAAACCUAAACUUUGGGUGAGGUGCAGGUUGAAGUGCAGAAUUGUAGUCCAUAAAUGGUUUACAGGUUGAAUUAAAUUUUUUAAAAAUCUAAAUGCAAAGUUAUUUUUUACAUUGAUGUGUACUUGCACAACUUGGUCUGCCAUUCUUCUGACGAAGGAAUGGUGUAUAAUUUCCAUUAAAAAUGUAAUGUCUCCUGGCAGCUGUUAUUGUAUACAAAGCCAGCUCCAUAUACUUUGUAAGCAUAUCAAGUUUGGUGAUGCUUAACAGGAAAACAGCUGGCAGGAAGAAAAAUCAAUAGUUAAGAUAUUUUGUAGUAAAUUAUCUUGCAAAAUUGUUGAGCUUGCCACCAAGUAUGAAAAAAUGAUCUAACCUAAUUGUUGCAUUUCCAGCAAUUUUUGGAAUAUGUAUUAUUUUGGCAAUCAACAAAAUAUACCAGUAAUAAAACAUCUUGUACCAUUUUUUUCUAAGUGUAAUAUUCACAGUAAAUUUGAUAUUUAUCUUCCAUUGAUAGUUCCAUUGUUGCAUAUUAAUUGUCCUGUUUACAUUCUGUAUCCAUUUAAUCAUACAGUCUUUGAUUUGUUCAGUUUCUGAGUCAUAUUUCAGUAACAACUUAUUUAUAAACCCCAACAGAUGUUCUGAGUUUCGUGUUACAAGGGUUUCCAUUUCAGUCAAGUCCCUUUGUAAUCAUAAUUCAUCCUGAAAUAUACUACUUAUUUGAAUAUACUGAAAACAUUAAAGUGGUUUUGACCAUUCCAAAGAAAG